rnacentral:tRNA from 1 species
GGCUCGGUAGCUUAGUUGGUAAAGCGCUCGUCUAGCAUACAAGAGUCCUGGGUUCAAUUCCCAGCCAGGGUU